AUACGGAGGGGGCUAGCGUUGUUCGGAAUUACUGGGCGUAAAGCGCACGUAGGCGGAUUAAAAAGUUAGAGGUGAAAUCCCAGGGCUUAACCCUGGAACUGCCUUUAAAACUAGUAGUCUAGAGUUCGAGAGAGGUGAGUGGAAUUCCAAGUGUAGAGGUGAAAUUCGUAGAUAUUUGGAGGAACACCAGUGGCGAAGGCGGCUCACUGGCUCGAUACUGACGCUGAGGUGCGAAAGCGUGGGGAGCAAACAGGAGUAGAAACCCUUGUAGUCC
rnacentral:rRNA from 1 species